rnacentral:rRNA from 1 species
UAGGGAAUCUUCCACAAUGGACGCAAGUCUGAUGGAGCAACGCCGCGUGAGUGAAGAAGGUUUUCGGACCGUAAAGCUCUGUUGUUGGUGAAGAAGGAUAGAGGUAGUAACUGGCCUUUAUUUGACGGUAAUCAACCAGAAAGUCACGGCUAACUACGUGCCAGCAGCCGCGGUAAUCGUAGGUGGCAAGCGUUGUCCGGAUUUAUUGGGCGUAAAGCGAGCGCAGGCGGAAGAAUAAGUCUGAUGUGAAAGCCCUCGGCUUAACCGAGGAAUUGCAUCGGAAACUGUUUUCUUGAGUGCAGAAGAGGAGAGUAGAACUCCAUGUGUAGCGGUGGAAUGCGUAGAUAUAUGGAAGAAUACCAGUGGCGAAGGCGGCUCUCUGGUCUGCAACUGACGCUGAGGCUCGAAAGCAUGGGUAGCGAACAGGAUUAGAUACCCUGGUAGUCCAUGCCGUAAACGAUGAGUGCUAAGUGUUGGGAGGCUUCCGCCUUUUCAGUGCUGCAGCUAACGCAUUAAGCACUCCGCCUGGGGGA